UCCCAACCUGCAGUGAGAGUCAAAUGGCAUAAUAAGUGUAAGUUUGGUUAAACUUGCAAUAUUUGAACAAUUCAGUUAAACCAAUCCCAAAGCAAUGUAGUGCAGAUAUCCACAGUUGGAUAGAAAAUCAAACAAGUGAGUUGAGGAAAAAAAACACAUGUGUUAUUCACCAAAAUCCCACGCGACUCACUCUUCUCUCACUUGUUAUCAAAUUUUGCCAAGAAAUAAAUACAUUUGCCAGCUGGAUAAAUCAAAGCGUAACAACUCAAAGAUAAUUCCCCAAAUUACCCUCUUGAAUUACGCUAUAAGUAAGGCAAACAUUGACAAUCAUUGGGGUCAGAAUUUUUCUCAUCCAAAGAAUCCUGCAAUCAUUCCCAACCCCCAGUACACACUCAUUUUCAUCAUUGUGGAAGCUUCAUCACUCGAAGCUCUACACGGCUAAGCUAAACCAUCGUUGGAAGCUUCAACACUCGAUUACCACUUCACUCUCAGGCUUGGACUAUUGAACCGAAGCAAGUUUCAGAAGUAAGAGGAGCAGAAGAGAAGAGUUGUACCUGUGAUUGGUGUCAUCACCGUCGCUGUCUCCGUCGUCGUCUCCAGCAGCGGUAAAUUCAUGAUCAUCAAGCUAUGGAUAAGCUAGACGUCAAUAAAACAAGAGUCGCCACCGCGCUUUUAUUAUUUCCAAGGGAAAAGGGAAAAGAGAAAAAUAUGAACAAAACCCAAAAGGUAAGAAGUUUUCAAAUCAAAACUAAUAAAAUGACAGAGAUUACAGGUAAGGGGGUUGGUUACACAGAGGGAAGGUGUUAACACCCAAAGUGUCCUAGGUACUUCUAGAGAGCCCUUUUUUGUGUGCAUAUGUGUUUUUUUUAAUAAAUGAUGUUUGCAAUAAAUAGAAUGGAGGGAUGAGAAAAUAAUUUAUUAAUUAUAUUUUUGUGUUUGACAAGACCUUCAGACUUGUGCCUACAUACCAACAUAAAAAUGAGGGAUCAAAACCUCGUAGUUCGUGGUAUCAAUUUCAAA